rnacentral:rRNA from 1 species
CCCCUUAAUUGGCUGGGACGUGGAUUCCACGAGGUUACUUUGAAAAAAUUAGAGUGUUCAAAGCAAGCUAAAGCUCUGAAUACAUUAGCAUGGAAUAACGCGAGAGGACUCGGUCCUUAUUUUGUUGGUCUUCAAGGAUGGAGUAAUGAUUAAGAGGGACAGUUGGGGGCAUUCGUAUUUCAUUGCUAGAGGUGAAAUUCUUGGAUUUAUGAAAGACGAACUUCUGCGAAAGCAUUUGCCAAGGAUGUUUUCAUUGAUCAAGAACGAAAGUUGGGGGCUCGAAGAUGAUCAGAUACCAUCCUAGUCUCAACCAUAAACGAUGCCGACUAGGGAUUGGCAGGUGUUACAUCGAUGACUCUGCCAGCACCUUAUGAGAAAUCAAAGUUUUUGGGUUCCGGGGGGAGUAUGGGUCGCAAGGCUGAAACUUAAAGGAAUUGACGGAAGGGCACCACCAGGAGUGGAGCCUGCGGCUUAAUUUGACUCCACACGGGGAACUUACCAGG